rnacentral:rRNA from 1 species
UACGUAGGGUGCGAGCGUUGUCCGGAAUUAUUGGGCGUAAAGAGCUCGUAGGCGGUCUGUCGCGUCGAUCGUGAAAACUUGGGGCUUAACCCUGAGCUUGCGGUCGAUACGGGCAUGACUGGAGUUCGGCAGGGGAGACUGGAAUUCCUGGUGUAGCGGUGAAAUGCGCAGAUAUCAGGAGGAACACCGGUGGCGAAGGCGGAUCUCUGGGCCUUACCUGACGCUGAGGAGCGAAAGCGUGGGGAGCAAACAGG